rnacentral:rRNA from 1 species
CCAGCAGCUGCGGUAAUUCCAGCUCCAAUAGCGUAUAUUAAAGUUGCUGCAGUUAAAAAGCUCGUAGUUGGAUUUCUGGCUUGAAACAUUUUGCCGGCCACGGUUUCGUGUGUUAGUGCUUGAUGUUCUGGCCAUCCUUCCAAUCGCUAUUUGCUUCUCUUCAUUGAUUAGCAAGUGGUAUUGGAUCUUUUACUUUGAAAAAAUUAGAGUGUUUCAAGCAGGCUAUUGCUAUGAAUACAUUAGCAUGGAAUAAUAAUUUAGGACUUCGGUUCUAUUUUGUUGGUUUCUAGGACUGAAGUAAUGAUUGAUAGGGACAGUUGGGGGUGCUAGUAUUCAGCGGCCAGAGGUGA